UAGGGAAUCUUCCACAAUGGACGAAAGUCUGAUGGAGCAACGCCGCGUGAGUGAAGAAGGGUUUCGGCUCGUAAAACUCUGUUGUUAAAGAAGAACAUAUCUGAGAGUAACUGUUCAGGUAUUGACGGUAUUUAACCAGAAAGGAACGGCUAACUACGUGCUAG
rnacentral:rRNA from 1 species